rnacentral:rRNA from 2 species
GUCGUGAGACAGUUCGGUCCCUAUCUGUCGUGGGCGCAGGAUAUUUGAGGAGAGCUGUCCUUAGUACGAGAGGACCGGGAUGGACGCACCUCUGGCGCACCAGUUGUCAUGCCAAUGGCACAGCUGGGCAACUAUGUGCGGAUUGGAUAAACGCUGAAAGCAUCUAAGCGUGAAGCCAACUCCAAGAUAAGAUAUCCCAUGGCGUAAGCCAGUAAGGCCCCUUGAAGACUACAAGGUUGAUAGGCUGCGUGUGGAAGUGCAGUAAUGCAUGUAGCUUGGCAGUACUAAUAGGCCGAGGGCUUGACCAU